rnacentral:rRNA from 1 species
UUAUAGUUUAGUGGCGGACGGGUGAGUAACACGUGAGCAACCUGCCUUCGAGAGGGGAAUAACGGCUGGAAACGGUCGCUAAUACCGCAUAACAUACGGGAGGGACAUCCCUUUUGUAUCAAAGAUUUAUCGCUCGAAGAUGGGCUCGCGUCCGAUUAGGUGGUUGGUGAGGUAACGGCCCACCAAGCCGACGAUCGGUAGCCGGACUGAGAGGUUGAACGGCCACAUUGGGACUGAGACACGGCCCAGACUCCUACGGGAGGCAGCAG